UUAGGUAGAAUUAAGUCGCCCAGUCCAAGAUCAAAUAUUGAAUGAACUCAAUCAACUGACCGAUGUUUGCGAUGUUCUUAAGUCACUCCAUAUUGCUAUUGGAUUUCUGUCGUCUGCUGGAGGAGAUCCGUCAAUGUCUAUCCAUGAAUACCUUCACUCCGGAUUAAAGAUGACACUUAAAAAUGGUUUAAAAAGCGUGAAGG
rnacentral:lncRNA from 1 species